rnacentral:tRNA from 1 species
AGAGAGGUGGCCGAGUGGUCGAAGGCGCACGCCUGGAAAGUGUGUAUAGCUCAAAAGGCUAUCGAGGGUUCGAAUCCCUUCCUCUCUGCAA